AGUAGGGUCAGCUAACAAAGCUAUCGGGCCCAUGCACUGAAAAUGAUGGUUCAACUCCUUCCCCUACUA
rnacentral:tRNA from 1 species